rnacentral:rRNA from 1 species
GACGAACGCUGGCGGCGUGCUUAACACAUGCAAGUCGAACGGAAAGGCCCUGCUUUUGUGGGGUGCUCGAGUGGCGAACGGGUGAGUAACACGUGAGUAACCUGCCCUUGACUUUGGGAUAACUUCAGGAAACUGGGGCUAAUACCGGAUAGGAGCUCCUGCUGCAUGGUGGGGGUUGGAAAGUUUCGGCGGUUGGGGAUGGACUCGCGGCUUAUCAGCUUGUUGGUGGGGUAGUGGCUUACCAAGGCUUUGACGGGUAGCCGGCCUGAGAGGGUGACCGGCCACAUUGGGACUGAGGUACGGACCAGACUCCUACGGGAGGCAGCAGUGGGGAAUAUUGCGCAAUGGGGGGAAGCCUGAUGCAGCAACGCCGCGUGCGGGAUGACGGCCUUCGGGUUGUAAACCGCUUUCGCCGGUGACGAAGCGUGAGUGACGGUAAUGGGUAAAGAAGCACCGGCUAACUACGUG